GAUGAACGCUGGCGGCGUGCCUAAUACAUGCAAGUCGAGCGAAUGGAUUAAGAGCUUGCUCUUAUGAAGUUAGCGGCGGACGGGUGAGUAACACGUGGGUAACCUGCCCAUAAGACUGGGAUAACUCCGGGAAACCGGGGCUAAUACCGGAUAACAUUUUGAACCGCAUGGUUCGAAAUUGAAAGGCGGCUUCGGCUGUCACUUAUGGAUGGACCCGCGUCGCAUUAGCUAGUUGGUGAGGUAACGGCUCACCAAGGCAACGAUGCGUAGCCGGCCGGGGAGGGUAAUCGGCCACACUGGGACUGAGACACGGCCCAGACUCCUACGGGAGGCAGCAGUAGGGAAUCUUCCGCAAUGGACGAAAGUCUGACGGAGCAACGCCGCGUGAGUGAUGAAGGCUUUCGGGUCGUAAAACUCUGUUGUUAGGGAAGAACAAGUGCUAGUUGAAUAAGCUGGCACCUUGACGGUACCUAACCAGAAAGCCACGGCUAACUACGUGCCAGCCGCCGCGGUAA
rnacentral:rRNA from 1 species